rnacentral:lncRNA from 1 species
CUUCCUUUUCUUUCUUUCAUUCGUUCUUCCGUCCUAUCUUCCUUUUUCUUUCCUUCUUUUUCUUCUCGUUCUUUCUUUCGUUUUUCCUUCUUCCUUCCUUCCUUUCCUUCUUCCUUCCUUCCUUUUUCUUUCUUUUAUUCUUUCUUGCUCUUGUUUCUUUCCUUCUUUUUUCCUUCUUCCUUCCUUCCUUCCUUUCUCUCUUUCCUUCUUUCUUCCUCCUUCCUUCCAGUCUUUCUUCAUUUCUCUUUCUUCCUUCCUUCCUUUCUUCCUCCCUUCCUUCCUUCCUCUUUCUUUCUUUCUUUCUUUCUUUCUUUCUUUCUUUCUUUUUCUUCCUUCCUUCCUUCCUUCCUUUUUCUUUCUUUCUUUCUUUCUUUCUUUCUUUCUUUUCAUUUCUUCCUUCCUUCCUUUUUCUUUCUUUCUUUCUUUCUUUCUUUCUUUCUUUCUUUUCUUUUCUUUUCUUUUCCUUCCUUCUUCUCUUUCUUUUUUCUUCCUUCCUUCCUUCCUUCCUUCCUUCCUUCCUUCCUUCCUUCCUUCCUUCCUUCCUUUCUUUCUAACUAAAGAAACUCCAAGAUAUCUUUCAACUCUAAAAGCCCAUUAUUUUAUGAUGCUGGAAGGCAUAGUUUCUUCCAU